rnacentral:lncRNA from 1 species
CACACAGCCACAGUGUACACUUGUAGUCGGGAUCGUAAUAUAGUUAUGCCUCUUUAGGUGGCAACUUUUCUAUCUCUCUAACGCUUAAUUGGCAAUGCUUAAACGUCCAGACCGGAAGCAAGUUCGCGAAGCAAGUUCGAUCACAAUUUGCCGCAGUUAACCGACCAAAGAACGAACGAACAGUUAAUUAAUUUAAGAGAUUAUCUAUAUCUAUAUACACACAGUCACACGUAUAAAUAUAUACAUAUAUUAUCUAUAUACAAUGUGCUCGUUUAUGACCGUUUUAAUAAUAACAAUGAUUAUUCAUAUCCGAGAGCAAAUGACCAAUCAUGAUGUAACAUUAUACAUGGGUGUUUUUUCCUUUGCCUAAAAAACACGUGUUCUUCGUAUGAACCCUUCAAUUUCUUUCCCCAUAAAACUUCAAGUAUCUUUGGCGCUGAUUUUGAGAGAUAUAUCGGGUGUGUCGAAAGUUUUUGAUAUCGUGUGCGAAUAGUAUCGUUAUUUAGGCUGUUUAUAUAAUUUAUGGGGUUUUAUGGUUAUAUGGGAAUUAUGGUGAUAUGAUGCUUUCAUGGUUAUAUAGGAUUUCUGAGGUUAUACGGAAUUUUUAUUUAUUUGGGGGUUCUAUGAUUACAUGGGGUUUUAUGGUUAUAUGGGAAUUAUGGUGAUAUGAUGCUUUCAUGGUUAUAUGGGAUUUCUGCGGUUAUACGGAAUUUUUAUUUAUUUGGGGCUUCUAUGAUUAUUUGGAAUUUUUAUGGUUAUGUAGGGUUUCUUAUGGUUAGAUGGGUUUUCUUAUGGUGUUAUGGGAUUUCUUAUGGUUUUAUGGGGUUUCAUGGUUAUAUGGUGUUUUUUAAGGUUACAUGCACCUGUUAUGGUUACAUAAGAUUUUCAUGAGUAAUAUGGGAGUUUUAUGAUCCUAUGGGGUUUUUAUGGUGUUAUGGGGUUUUAUGAUUACAUGAGAUUUUCAUUGUGAUUUGUGAGUUUUAUGGUUACACCGAAGUUUUGGGCUAUACGGGCUUCGUAUGAUCCUAUGGGGUUCUUAUGGUGUUAUGGGGUUUUAUGGUUACAUGAGAUUUCCGUGAUAAUACCGAAUUUUUAAGAUUAUAUGGGGAUUUUGGCUAUAUGGGGUUUAUUUUAUCCUAUGGGGUUUUUAUGGGGUUAUGGGGUUUUAUGGUGUUAUGGGGUUUUAUGGUUACAUGACAUUUUCAUUGUAAUUUGUGACUUUUAUGGUUUUAUCGGAAUUUUAGGCUCUAUGGGGUUGAUAUGAUCCUAUGGGGUUUUUAUGGGGUUAUCAGGUUUUAUGGUGUUAUGGGGUUUUAUGGUUACGUGAGAUUCUCAUUGUAAUUUGUGACUUUUAUGGUUUUAUCAGAGUUUUGGGUUCUAUGGGGUUCAUAUGAUCCUACGGGGUUUUUAUGGUGUUAUGGGGUUUGUGGUUACGAGACAUUUCCGUGCUAGCAUGGGACUUUUAUGAUUAUAUCAAGGUUUUGUGGCUAUAUGGGGUUCAUAUGAUCCUAUGGGGUUUUCAUGGUGUUAUGGGGUUUGUGGUUAAAUCUAAACCUUGUACUCAUAUGGGAUUUUAAUAGUUACUAGAAAUUUACAUGGUAUACGAAAUUUUUGACCUCCUACGGGUUUAUCAAAUUCAUAUGGAACUCUUAUGGUCAUAUGGGGUAUUCAUGGUUAUACGAAACUAUUAUGGUUAUAUAAAAUUUCCACGGUUAAAUGGGAAUGAAUAACCAUGAAAAAUUUGUGAUUCUUUCAAACAAUAUUUGAUAAUUGUAGUAACGGUUGAAAAAUCUAUGGUGUAAGUGUUUUCAAUGGAAUCCGAAAAAAAAGUUUUGAAAUAAAUGUUGUGAUAUAAUCAUA